UACGUAGGGCGCAAGCGUGUCCGGAAUUAUUGGGCGUAAAGAGCCCGUAGGCGGCUUGUCACGUCGGGUGUGAAAGCCCGGGGCUUAACCCCGGGUCUGCAUUCGAUACGGGCUAGCUAGAGUGUGGUAGGGGAGAUCGGAAUUCCUGGUGUAGCGGUGAAAUGCGCAGAUAUCAGGAGGAACACCGGUGGCGAAGGCGGAUCUCUGGGCCAUUACUGACGUGAGGAGCGAAAGCGUGGGGAGCGAAACAGGAUUAGACUACC
rnacentral:rRNA from 1 species